rnacentral:lncRNA from 1 species
GAGAGGCUCUGCUGACCUUCAGUAAUGGCCUCCUGCCUCCUUCAGCUAUCAUGGAAGGGGUAAGGCUGGGGCUGCUGGAAGGAGGGAGGUCCUAGAGAAGGGUCAAGUGGUUUUCAUUACUCUGAUAGUGAAUUGGCUCAGCCUUCUAUAGGGCAUUAUCUUGUUUGCCAGAAGUCUGAUGUGCAAGCAUUUAUUUUCAGCAGCAAAAUUACCUGUCUGGCCUUUGGACUUAUUUGCUGGGAGAUGCCUGAAUGGACAUCACUUAGACAUCUGCCUGCAGGUGUUCAUCAUGCCUCAUCUGCUGGAGGAGGGCAUUGGCCUCCCUCAAGGACUUGGUACCAGGGAUGGAAGUGGGAGAGACCUAGAAAAGAAAAAAAGUGGAAAAAUCAGCUGA